UUAUCAUUUACACAUCAAAUACAUACAGCAUUAAGACCAAAUAUACAGAAUUUCCACAUUUAUAUACAGUAAUCAACAUAGUGCACAAUUCAAAUCUAUCUUACAAUCAAGUAAAUGUUUGCAGGCAGUGUCCACCCAUCAGCCCCCAAGCCGCUGAAACGUGGGUUCGAAUUACACUAACAUUGGUCCUUCCCAUCUCAGAGAUCUGGAAAACACACCUCUACAUCUUCCACACAUUUAGAGAUGGGAUAUUAUAAACAAAGAGAAGAAAGAUGCACAAUCAGUGAGAUGAUGCUUAGCAGGACUUUCAGAUUCAGAAAUUCUCAGGCAACAGAGUCAGCAUCUGCAUUGUUGAGGUCCUUUUCCCUUCCUUUCUUUUCUGGUUUUGCUAAGUCAAGGUACUGAGUAAUUGUUCAGGAAUGUACAAGACGUUCUAGAUUAAGUGGUCCCCAAAACAGAAUUUAAAAGAGCUCUUGUAAAGAUCAUACCUAAUUAGCCAUUCUCCUCUUCUCCAACCAAAAAUGUAUUGUAAGAAUGAAUGAAUGAAUGACCUUGACCUAAAAUCAUGCGUCCAUGCCUAUUUUACAUCCACUUUCCCACCAAUGUUACACACACAUUCGUUAACUAACCAGUUUUCUAGGUGUCAACUUUUAAGUCUUCCUUGUCCCAUUCUCUAAACUCUAUUGUCGAGGAGAAAAUUCUUUGUAAAUUUCUAUGUUUGCUAUGGUUUUUAACGUUCAUAACAUAUCAAUAGAGCAGUGUGUGUAUGUGUUUAUAAAUAAAUACGCUGAAGGGCAUGCCGAGAAAGUUUUACAAAGGUUUGGAGACCACUUGCCUACAUAAGGAUGAUCUGGCGUGUCUCCAAACACUGACAGUUUCUAUAAAACAAAUAUACAAAUACAUUCUUUACAUAGUAUAUUAUAAAAUGGAAACUAUAUGCCACAAACGUUUUUGAGAGACCAGAAGUUAAGUUCCAGAAUCAAAGGAGUGGACACCCUGGGGCUACGCCUCUUGUGCCCAGGCCCAGCCUCAGAUGGGACAGCCCAGGAGAACAAGCCAGAAACCAGGGCAAUGCUCAACAUUUCUCCAAUGCUUGCUGCACCGGCCACUGGGAUAUUCACAGACAAGCCUUCCCUACAGAUGGCAUUUGUUUUUUAUUUAAACCUGUAGUCAUCUGCAUUGUUUUAGUAAGAUGCCACUACCUAGAAAAUUUCCAGAGUGCCGACACAUCUCUAAUAUAACCAUACCACAUGGUUGCUCAAAGCCAGUAUCCAUUCUCUUUCCUUCUCUCCUCCCACUCAGUGAAAUUCAAAUACCUCCCAAUAAAGUACUCAGAUCCACAUCUUUUCAACCGAUACCAUGGAGGAGCCAUCACCCUCAUCAACGCUGCAGUUGUCAGACACUCAGCCGGACACGGGGUGCUGGGAAAAACAUAUGUGUACAGUAAGCAUGAUCCCAUGAAAUGGAUUAUUUGAGGUAAAACCAUUUUGACAGAAGUAACACAAACACAUUGCCCCUACUGAAGCAGAGAUCCCUCCAAAAAUUUGAGCCUUAUCUUUAGUCUUAUUGCUGCAAAAGAUUUCAGAUAUAAUUUGCUGAAGAUAAAAAUACAAUCAUUUGGACAUGGUUGAUGUUUUAAUAAAGUCCAAUGUGAUCUCUAGUUGGGGGAGAGAAGCAAACAUGAGAGAAUGUUUCCAAUUGCAAACAACUAUUAAAAAGUCCAAGGAUUGCUGUUUUUUUAAGAAGAGGGGGGUAGCAAGUACCCCAAGAAUUACUCUUUUCCAGCCUCCAAUUAUAUUACAUUCCUGCUGCUAUCUAUGUAGCCACUACUGGUUAACUUGGCAAUUCAGGCACUGAAUUCUAUUGUUUUCAAAGCCAUGGGGUAAUUUUUUUAAUACUAAAGAAGAAAAAAGGUUUCAACUUUACUAAUAAAUAGAAAGCACUCUAUUCUAGAGCCAAAAGGAAAAAAAAAAAAAGAAAAAAAAAGAAAAAACCGGGGAGGGGGGGAUGCUUGCCAGUGGGAGUGGGAGCUGAAUUAGUCAUAUUUAGACUACUUUUCACAAAGUGAAAUAUCAUCUUAAAUAUAUAUUGCUCUAUAGUUAGUGAAUUGUCUCAAAAUCUUUAAAGCUGUAAUUAAGGAUAACAGCAAUUGAAAAAUCUUCAAGAAGGCCAUCAAGUUCAUUGCUGAAAUUAUUUCACUGUGAAUGGAACACCAAGGUACUGUACCAAUCUUUUGCUCUAGAUAACUUGUUUCCCCACAGAUAUGAUCAGGAGUGUUGGUGCUGGCUGGACCACAUCCAAAAGCCACUGUUUGAUUAUUGCAACCGUCCCCGUUAUUUGCCUACAAAUUUGACAGUUAGGGGCAAUAAUCCUCUUGCAAUUUGAGCAUCCUAAUGAUCUAGCCAAGAGCAUAAGUUUCAGA
rnacentral:lncRNA from 1 species